UACAGAGGGUGCGAACGUUGUUCGGAAUUACUGGGCGUAAAGCGCGUGUAGGCGGCAGCGCAAGUCGGGCGUGAAAUCCCACGGCUCAACCGUGGAAGUGCACUCGAAACUGCGCAGCUAGAGUCCUGGAGAGGAAGGUGGAAUGCUUGGUGUAGAGGUGAAAUUCGUAGAUAUCAAGCGGAACACCGGUGGCGAAGGCGACCUUCUGGACAGUGACUGACGCUGAGACGCGAAAGCGUGGGGAGCAACAGGG
rnacentral:rRNA from 1 species